rnacentral:ncRNA from 1 species
GGCCGGAUAAGGCGUUUACGCCGCAUCCGGCAAUCAACGCGGGAUGCGACGCUUUCACAUCACAUCCGGCA